rnacentral:sRNA from 1 species
AGCAGCCGCGGUAAUUCCAGCUCCAAUAGCGUAUAUUAAAGUUGUUGCAGUUAAAAAGCUCGUAGUUGAAUUUCGGGACCAAUAUGUUGGUCGUGCCUCGGUACGCACUGGCAUUAUUGGUUUCUCCCUUCUGACGAACUACGAUGCCAUUAAUUUGGUGUCGUAGGGAAUCAGGACUGUUACUUUGAAAAAUUAGAGUGUUUAAAGCAGGCUCGCGCUUGAAUACAUUAGCAUGGAAUAAUGAAAUAGGACGUUUGAUUCUAUUUUGUUGGUUUCUAGGAUCGACGUAAUGAUUAAUAGGGAUAGUUGGGGGCAUUAGUAUUCAAUUGUCAGAGGUGAAAUUCUUGGAUUUUAUUGAAGACUAA